UCAGGAUGAACGCUAGCGGCAGGCUUAACACAUGCAAGUCGAGGGGUAGCAGGGAGCUUGCUCCGCUGACGACCGGCGAACGGGUGCGUAACGCGUAUAGAAUCUACCUCUUACUAAGGGAUAGCCCAGAGAAAUUUGGAUUAAUAUCUUAUAGUAUGUUAACUUGGCAUCAAGAUGACAUUAAAGGUUACGGUAAGAGAUGACUAUGCGUCCUAUUAGCUAGAUGGUGUGGUAACGGCACACCAUGGCAACGAUAGGUAGGGGCCCUGAGAGGGGGAUCCCCCACACUGGUACUGAGACACGGACCAGACUCCUACGGGAGGCAGCAGUGAGGAAUAUUGGACAGAUGGAGGCAACUCUGAUCCAGCCAUGCCGCGUGCAGGAAGACUGCCCUAUGGGUUGUAAACUGCUUUUAUACAGGAAGAAACACUCUCACGUGUGAGAGCUUGACGGUACUGUAAGAAUAAGGAUCGGCUAACUCCGUGCCAGCAGCCGCGGUAAUACGGAGGAUCCAAGCGUUAUCCGGAAUCAUUGGGUUUAAAGGGUCCGUAGGUGGAUAAUUAAGUCAGAGGUGAAAUCCUGCAGCUCAACUGUAGAAUUGCCUUUGAUACUGGUUGUCUUGAGUUAUUAUGAAGUAGUUAGAAUAUGUAGUGUAGCGGUGAAAUGCAUAGAUAUUACAUAGAAUACCAAUUGCGAAGGCAGAUUACUAAUAAUAUACUGACACUGAUGGACGAAAGCGUGGGGAGCGAACAGGAUUAGAUACCCUGGUAGUCCACGCCGUAAACGAUGGUCACUAGCUGUUCGAACUUCGGUUUGAGUGGCUAAGCGAAAGUGAUAAGUGACCCACCUGGGGAGUACGUUCGCAAGAAUGAAACUCAGAGGAAUUGACGGGGGCCCGCACAAGCGGUGGAGCAUGUGGUUUAAUUCGAUGAUACGCGAGGAACCUUACCAGGGCUUAAAUGUAAAUUGACAGGUUUAGAAAUAGACUUUUCUUCGGACAAUUUACAAGGUGCUGCAUGGUUGUCGUCAGCUCGUGCCGUGAGGUGUCAGGUUAAGUCCUAUAACGAGCGCAACCCCUGUUGUUAGUUGCCAGCGAGUCAUGUCGGGAACUCUAACAAGACUGCCAGUGCAAACUGUUAAGAAAGGUGGGGAUGACGUCAAAUCAUCCCGGCCCUUACGUCCUGGGCUAACUCCCGUGCUACAAUGGUAGGGAACAAGAGACAGCCCCUGGGUGACCCGGAGCGAAUCCUUUAACCCUUUCAAAUUCGGA
rnacentral:rRNA from 1 species